rnacentral:rRNA from 1 species
UGCGUAGAUAUCGGGAGGAACACCAGUGGCGAAGGCGGCCUCCUGGGCUGCUCCUGACGCUGAAGGCGAAAGCUAGGGGAGCGAACGGGAUUAGAAACCCCGGUUAGUCCUAGCCGUAAACGAUGGAUGCUGGGUCUGGGGGGUAUAGAUUCCCUCCGUGCCGAAGCUAACGCGUUAAGCAUCCCGCCUGGGGACUACGGCCGCAAGGCUAAAACUCAAACGAAUUGACGGGUCCCCGCACAAGCAGCGGAGCGUGUGGUUUAAUUCGAUGCUACACGAAGAACCUUACCUGGGUUUGACAUGCAAGUAGUAGUGAAGCGAAAGCGGAACGACCNUUCGGGGAGCUUGCACAGGUGCUGCAUGGCUGUCGUCAGCUCGUGCCGUGAGGUGUCGGGUUAAGUCCCGUAACGAGCGCAACCCUUGCCCUUAGUUAUACGUGUCUAAGGGGACUGCCCGGGACAACUGGGAGCGCCGCUGGGGAUGACGUCAAGUCAGCAUGGCCUUUAUAUCCAGGGCGACACACACGCUACAAUGGCCGGUACAAUGGGUUGCCAAGCCGUGAGGCGGAGCCAAUCCCGCAAAGCCGGUCUAAGUUCGGAUUGUGGGCUGCAACUCGCCCACAUGAAGCUGGAGUUGCUAGUAACCGCGCGUCAGCCAUCUCGCUCUGAUACGUUCCCGGGGAUUGUACACACCGCCCGUCACGUC